CCUACGGGAGGCAGCAGUGGGGAAUAUUGCACAAUGGGGGAAACCCUGAUGCUGCGACGCCGCGUGAGUGAAGAAGUAAUUCGUUAUGUAAAGCUCUAUCAGCAGGGAAGAAAAUGACGGUACCUGAGUAAGAAGCCCCGGCUAACUACGUGCCAGCAGCCGCGGUAAUAAGGAGGGGGCAAGCGUUAUCCGGAUUUACUGGGUGUAAAGGGAGCGUAGACGGCAGUGCAAGUCUGGAGUGAAAGGCGGGGGCUCAACCCCCGGACCGCUCUGGAAACUGUACGGCUGGAGUGCAGGAGAGGUAAGUGGAAUUCCUAGUGUAGCGGUGAAAUGCGUAGAUAUUGGGAGGAACACCAGUGGCGAAGGCGGCUUACUGGACUGUAACUGACGUUGAGGCACGAAAGCGUGGGGAGCAAACAGGAUUAGAUACCCCGGUAGUC
rnacentral:rRNA from 1 species